GCCCGCCUGGUCUAGUGGUUAAGACACCGCUUACCUUGUCGUUCCAGUAUAUACAUCUUUAGGUGGCGACAAGGGGUAUAUAGAUAGCGGAGACCCGAGUUCGAAUCCCGGGGUGGGCA